GAACAAUUAAAUCCUGCCAUUGCUCUAGCGGACAAGCUGCUUUAGAGCAACAAACUAAUCCACCUCCAAUCACCUCGAAUGCUAUUUCAGUAAUCUCCUUCCACUAAGCAAUUAUCAAUAUUGGAAAUCUUGUUCCAUUUCAUGCCUACACUAUCAUGGGAAGGUAGCCUACAUAAACCAGCAAGACUUAAAAGUCUAUCUCUCUCUUUCUCUCUCUCUCUCUCCUCCUUGCAUGUUCUACCAUCUUGAUUAAACAUAACUAAAAACCCUAUGAUCAUUCAACCGCGUCAGAAAUCAAGAAAAGUCAGCAAGAGCAGAUUAACAUCUACAACGGCACCAUCAAACGCCGGCACCCAUAACUACGGAAGGAGUCCGUUUCAAGAUCCUAUGAUCAUUCAACCGCGUCAGAAAUCAAGAAAAGUCAGCAAGCGGUAUCGCCUCAAUGCCGCCGACCCAUCUUCCCCCGCCUCCACACGGCAGGGACAAAACCCAGAAUCGGUUCCCCAUCCCACGAUUCGAUCCUUCCCCACAGAAAGGAAAAAAAGAAAAAAAACGAAAGAGUAAAGAGAAAUUUCAACGCGAAGCACCACCUUACCUCCCGCCUAAAGAGGGCUAGAGGUUAGCUAACGAAACGCACGCACGCACGCAAAGCAGAAGAGAACGCGAAAGCAGAAGCUGGGUUUAACUAACGGUACGAGGGGCUCUUUCGGGGAACAACGAACUUUCUAAAUCCGAACUCCGCCCGAUCCUCCGGCCAAAGCGACGACGUAGCCCGCGGCUGAAGCUGAUUUACUGAGAGAUGGGAGGGAUUUUUCUCGUAUUCUUGUGCAGAAUUCUUCCUUCCGGCGACGGAGAUGGUCAGUGAUGAGAGAGAAAGCGAGAGGGAGCUUGCUUUUUAUAGAGAGAGAGAGAGAGGGGACGCGCAACAGGAGGAGGGUUCCAGUCUUCCAGAGAGUUCGGAUUUGGGUGUGGUGGGGACGUUCGUGGAAAAUGCAGGGAAAGCAGAGAAGACGCGAAGAAUGACGUGCGAAGAUAGAGAUCGG
rnacentral:lncRNA from 1 species